rnacentral:ncRNA from 2 species
GGGUUCAAGGACACAGUUCUGUACAUCCUUGGAGGAUAAGGAAUGAUGGUCGGGCCGCCAUCU